rnacentral:tRNA from 1 species
GCCCGGGUGGUGGAAUCGGUAGACACAGGAGACUUAAAAUCUCCCGAACGUUAGUUCGUGCCGGUUCAAGUCCGGCCCCGGGCA